rnacentral:rRNA from 1 species
CUAUCUACAGGCUUAACACAUGCAAGUCGAGGGGCAGCAUGGUCUUAGCUUGCUAAGGCCGAUGGCGACCGGCGCACGGGUGAGUAACGCGUAUCCAACCUGCCUUACACUCUUGGACAGCCUUCUGAAAGGGAGAUUAAUACAAGAUGUUAUCAUGAGUAAGCAUUUUCGCAUGAUUAAAGGUUUACCGGUGUAAGAUGGGGAUGCGUUCCAUUAGAUAGUAGGCGGGGUAACGGCCCACCUAGUCUUCGAUGGAUAGGGGUUCUGAGAGGAAGGUCCCCCACAUUGGAACUGAGACACGGUCCAAACUCCUACGGGAGGCAGCAGUGAGGAAUAUUGGUCAAUGGACGAGAGUCUGAGCCAGCCAAGUAGCGUGAAGGAUGAAGGUUCUAUGGAUUGUAAACUUCUUUUAUACGGGAAUAAACGAAUCCACGUGUGGAUUUUUGCAUGUACCGUAUGAAUAAGGAUCGGCUAACUCCGUGCCAGCAGCCGCGGUAAUACGGAGGAUCCGAGCGUUAUCCGGAUUUAUUGGGUUUAAAGGGAGCGUAGAUGGGUUGUUAAGUCAGUUGUGAAAGUUUGCGGCUCAACCGUAAAAUUGCAAUUGAUACUGGCAGUCUUGAGUACAGUUGAGGUAGGCGGAAUUCGUGGUGUAGGGGUGAAAUGCUUAGAUAUCACGAAGAACUCCGAUUGCGAAGGCAGCUUACUAACCUGUAACUGACAUUGAUGCUCGAAAGUGUGGGUAUCAAACAGGAUUAGAUACCCUGGUAGUCCACACGGUAAACGAUGAAUACUCGCUGUAGGCGAUAUACAGUCUGCGGCCAAGAGAAAGCAUUAAGUAUUCCACCUGGGGAGUACGCCGGCAACGGUGAAACUCAAAGGAAUUGACGGGGGCCCGCACAAGCGGAGGAACAUGUGGUUUAAUUCGAUGAUACGCGAGGAACCUUACCCGGGCUUAAAUUGCAACCGAAUAUGGCGGAAACGCUAUAGCUAGCAAUAGCGGUUGUGAAGGUGCUGCAUGGUUGUCGUCAGCUCGUGCCGUGAGGUGUCGGCUUAAGUGCCAUAACGAGCGCAACCCUUGCCGAUAGUUACUAACAGGUCAUGCUGAGGACUCUGUCGGGACUGCCAUCGUAAGAUGUGAGGAAGGUGGGGAUGACGUCAAAUCAGCACGGCCCUUACGUCCGGGGCUACACACGUGUUACAAUGGGGGGUACGGAGGGCUGCUACCACGCAAGUGGAUGCCAAUCCCAAAAACCUCUCUCAGUUCGGAUUGAAGUCUGCAACCCGACUUCAUGAAGCUGGAUUCGCUAGUAAUCGCGCAUCAGCCACGGCGCGGUGAAUACGUUCCCGGGCCUUGUACACACCGCCCGUCAAGCCAUGGGAGCCGGGGGUACCUGAAGUGCGUAACCGCAAGGAGCGCCCUAGGGUAAAACUGGUGACUGGGGC